rnacentral:rRNA from 1 species
CUCAGGAUGAACGCUGGCUGUGUGCCUAAUACAUGCAUGUCGAACGAAGCACUUGUGCUUAGUGGCGAAUGGGUGAGUAACACGUACUUAAUCUGCCCUCAAGUCUGGGACAACAGUUGGAAACGACUGCUAAUACCGGAUAUGUACUACUUCCGCAUGGAAGUUUUAUAAAAGGAGCGUUUGCUCCGCUAGAGGAUGAGAGUGCGCCAUAUUAGCUAGUUGGUAGGGUAAAGGCCUACCAAGGCGAUGAUAUGUAGCGGGGUCGAGAGGCUGAACCGCCACACUGGGACUGAGAUACGGCCCAGACUCCGUACGGGAGCAGCAGUAGGGAACUAUUCCACAAUGAACGAAAGUUUGAUGGAGCGACACAGCGUGCAGGAUGAAGGUCUUCGGAUCGUAAACUGCUGUUAUAAGAGAAGACAAGUCUAAUAGGAAAUGACUUAAGCCCGUGACGGUACCUUAUCAGAAACGCACCGGCAAACUAGUGUACCG